GAUGAACGCUAGCGGCAGGCUUAAUACAUGCAAGUCGUGGGGCAGCAUGAAUGUAGCAAUACAUUUGAUGGCGACCGGCAAACGGGUGCGGAACACGUACACAACCUUCCUAUAAGUGGGGAAUAGCCCAGAGAAAUUUGGAUUAAUACCCCGUAACAUAACGAUGUGGCAUCACAUUGUUAUCAUAGCUUCGGCGCUUAUUGAUGGGUGUGCGGCUGAUUAGAUAGUUGGCGGGGUAACGGCCCACCAAGUCUACGAUCAGUAGCUGAUGUGAGAGCAUGAUCAGCCACACGGGCACUGAGACACGGCCCAGACUCCUACGGGAGGCAGCAGUGGGGAAUAUUGGACAAUGGGCGCAAGCCUGAUCCAGCAAUGCCGCGUGUGUGAAGAAGGCCUGCGGGUUGUAAAGCACUUUCGGUGGGGAGAAAGAGACUAUCUCUAAUACAGAUAGAGGAUGAUGUUACCCACAGAAGAAGCACCGGCUAACUCUGUGCCAGCAGCCGCGGUAAAAC
rnacentral:rRNA from 1 species